GCCACUUCAUCUGCCACUGCUUCUCACACAAUUCCCAACCCUCAGUACAAUACAUGGUUUGAUCAAGACCAAAUUGUCCUGAGCACUUUAGUUUCCUCUCUCUCUGAAAGCAUAUUGGCCCAAAUGGUAGGCCUCCUACUGCUAGAGAAGUUUGGGUUGCACUCGAAAAAAUGUUUGCUUCGCACUCUUCAGCCCGACUCAUUCAAACUCGGCAACUUUUGGCUUGUACGAAGAAAGGUAACUUGUCCAUUUCCGAUUAUU
rnacentral:lncRNA from 1 species